GCCAAGAACAGACCAAAUGU
rnacentral:sRNA from 1 species